AGAACGAACGCUGGCGGCAUGCCUAAUACAUGCAAGUCGAACGAACACUUCGGUGUUAGUGGCGCACGGGUGCGUAACGCGUGGGAAUCUGCCCUUGGGUUCGGAAUAACUUCGGGAAACUGAAGCUAAUACCGGAUGAUGACGUAAGUCCAAAGAUUUAUCGCCCAAGGAUGACGCCCGCGUAGGAUUAGCUAGUUGGUGGGGUAAAGGCCUACCAAGGCGACGAUCCUUAGCUGGUCUGAGAGGAUGAUCAGCCACACUGGGACUGAGACACGGCCCAGACUCCUACGGG
rnacentral:rRNA from 1 species